CUCUCCUUCAAUAUUUUCCCGCUCAAACUGCCUAUACACUUCACUUUUCCCCGUAUCGUUUCUAUUUUUGUUUGACACUUUCCAAUAUCAUGCUUAUCAAUUACUCCUAAUUUAUGGUUGUGACUGUUGAUAUUUCCUAGGCUUCUCUACAUUCCAUUCCCCCUUAAAAAAUUGAGGGAAAAACUAGCGGAACAACUGAGAACAUAAUUAUUCAAUUGACUGCAAUGCUUUUUUUUUUUUUUUUUUUUGUGUUUUCAAAAUUCCUAUUAGUUUCUCUGUUUUUCGAACAAAUUGUUGUGAAUGAUUCUGGAAUUUUGAUUUUCAGGUAAGAUUGAAAUUCGGAUUACUGCAGCUCUUGAAGCAGCUUCAAUGGCGGUUUUGGAGUUGUUGGGGGAAGCUACAGAUAAUUAGUAAAACUUUAAACAAAUGAGGUCGUCGUUGAGGAAGCUUUGAUCUUACUGCUAUUACUUUUCAGGAGUGUUGCAUCUAUUGAGUUCCUAUGCUUGAGGUUUGAAGAGAAAGCGAUGUUGAAAUACGGUAUAUCAUGAGUACAUAAUUUUUAACAUGAGUACAUAAUUUAGAUUAGUAUAUACGAAGUAUGUUUUAUUUCAUUUUGUUAGGAACUGACCCAUGGAACGAUGACAAUUUAUGGAAGACGGUAAAUCGGUGAAUGAUUA